CAAGGCAGCCCUGGCCUGCUCACUGAAGCUGGGGAGAGAGGAUGAUGACAAGCUAAGACCACAAAUCUCUCCUGAGGGAGUCAGGGGAGCAGGAGAUGUGGGUGGUGCUGAGCUCCCACUGCCUCCCAGGGCAGAGAGGACCGCAGUCCAGUCCUCAACCUGUGCGAAAGGUUUGGGGAAAUGACAACUGAGUUUCCAGCACACGUCAGUGCAAAGCAGCUUAUUCCAGGUGCCCAGCAGCCCCACGUGGCCAGUGGCCACCACACUGAAGCGCAGCUCGGAGGACUCUGACUGCCCUGAGCUGAGGGAGGUGACGGGUCUGAAACACUCUUUUCUGCCAGAAGUUAGGGGACACCUCCUCCCUCCCAACAGCUCUCUUCAGGCCCAAGAGUGAGAGAUGGUGCCUCUAGAGGGCAGGGGCUACAAGAACAAAGUGUCCACAGGUUUCCCUGCUGCCCACCUGCUGCCCAUCGUCUUUCCAGAGAUCAGAAAAUGAACAAAGGAUGAUGGGGCCCCCAAAAGGAGGAAACCCAGUGUCUUCAGAUCUGUCCACAGCCUUGACCUACGAAGUUUAGAUAUGGAGGGAAUAGAUUAAAGGCACACUUACUUUGCUAUUUGGCCUUGACCCUAACGGUCAGGCUGUGUACAUUUGUUUCCUCACAUGCUGUGGAGGACUGCGUAGUUUAAGCACCAAUUACAUGCAGACAUGUCUACAUGCAUUUCUGUGUAACUCGAUGCCAUCAAGCAAGAGGCCCAACUUUAAAUAAGAGGAAAAGAAAAUCAGCAACUGUAGGGUGUCUUCUGUUUGCAGGCUAGCACAGACUUGCUCUUAUGGAAAUGGUAGAAUUCUGAAAGAAAAACAAAGCAUUCAAGAACUUUUGAGCCUAAGCCCCAAGCUGGCACACUGUUAUGUUUGCAGUCUUCUAUUGGCCACAGCAAAUAAGGCCAGCUGAGAUCCAAGGUUUGGGAAACAGAGUCUGCUUCUUAAUGAGAACAUCUGUACAAGCACACUGCAAAGGGUCUGGAUACAGGGAAGGAUGAUGAAUUGAUGCCAUUUUUGCAAUCAGUAUCACUAUGCAUUUUCUUGCAGAGCUACUAAUGUGUGGACAGAGUCUGCGGCCGUGGCAGGUGGCACACACUGGCAAUGAUGACCAGAGCCACGGUGACAGUGGCAGCCUGCUCCCUGGACUCUGCGUCCCGAAGCACGUGCCAGGCUGCAGCAGCAUCCACAGUGGACAGGGAGCCACGGGAAGCGGGCUGCCAUCAAGCCACAAUUUCACCAGCUCUGCUCUUGGGUGGAACCACUACUUCCCGCCAGAGCUUGCAGAUGAAGCAAAGAGGGGCCAUGGAGGGAUCCAGGGCUGACUGCUUGGAGCCUUGGUUUUCCUGCAUUUUACAAAUGGAGUUGUAGUCAUAAACCUGCCACCUCAUUUAAUUUCCAGUGAUGCUGUAAAACUAAACGAAAUUUUGA